UAUUAAAAAUUUUAUCCAUUUGUAUUGUUAAAGUUUGACGUGGUUGAUGAAAUAACUAAACAGUGAUAUGUACCUCAUGCUAACGUAAAAUGACUAAAUUUUAACAGCAGAAAUACAUAAAAUUUUUAAA
rfam:Gossypium hirsutum cultivar TM-1 chromosome 12, whole genome shotgun sequence